UAAGGGGUCCAGGAACAAGGGGAGGGGCAGGCAGCUCUCCCGUGCCUGUCGUGGGGUCGGAGCCCACCCGCACACUCGCCCUUCCAGCUUACAUAUUCCGCAGUCCGAACAGACACUGGGUCUGUUCCCACCUGCAGCCACGCCCUCGGGAGUAGGCCCCGCCCACGGCGCUGGUUCUAACUUCCGCCAAGUCCCCGGGCCCCCUUCCGUCCCCGGCUCCCGCGCCUGGCCCAGCCCGACCCGCCCACGCCCACGCGGGAGAAAGCUAGAGCUUUCCCGCCUGAUGUGGUCGGAUCGGGCUGACGGCCGGAAAGCGGGGGCCCGCCCCUUCCGGCCUCAGGCAGGAAGCGGAAGUGGGGUCACGGAGGCGCCGGGCUCUUUUCCGCCGCUGGCCUGGUUUCGCUUUGGCUGUGGGUCCACGCAGGCCAACUUCUGGAGGUCAACGCGAGGGAGACGGAAGGACGAGGCUGUGCCGGGCCUCCCAGGAGCCUGCUUAAAGAGACCUGGCGCGUGGGGCGCCUGGCGGCUCAGUCGGUGGAGCGAGCCCCUCUUGAUCCUGUGGUCGUGAGUUCAAGCCCUACCUUAGGUGUAGGGAUGACUAAAAAAAAAAUAAACUUUAAAUAAGACAGAGAGCCGGCGCGCACCGCUGUCUUCCGCUGGGAGUGUCCUCGGGAGUAGCUGGACCGGGAAAUGGGGAAAAGCGCUUCCGCCGGCCGAGUUGGUAGAUUCCGGCCGUGUCGUCGCGUCCUCACCGACCACGCGGUUCCGGCUCAUGCCGCAAACUCCUGAGAAAAGAGACACCCGUAAGCACUGAUGAAUGUACAAACUGUUUGAGGAAUGCACACUUUCAGUCUCAUCAUGUCAAAGCACCAAAAUAACAUGCAGUCACCAUUAUGAAAUGCAAAUACUGAGAUUAUUUGGUAUUCUCUCAUCAUUCUGAUAGAUUCCACUUUGUGAGAAAAUUCAUCAGGGCUCAGAGUGGCUCUGUUCCUUUAGGAAGCUGUGGAAACAGGUCUACCUAGAAGGAAAUGUAUGUAUCUGAUGAAUGUAUUAUGUCAUUUUUGUUGAAGGACAAACUUUUUUCUUACCUGAGAAGAACCUGUUAAACACUCAGUCUUCAUCUUUUUUGCUGCUGUCCUUGUUUCAAGAAAGAAGAACAUGUCCUUAGAAGGAAAACCUAGUAGAAAAGAAGAAUGAACACCAGAGAUGACUAUACUUGCCACAUUCACCUGACUGGAAUUCAUUCCAUUCUAGCUUGAAAUUCCUGAAUAUUUCUCUGCAUUCAAGUAAAUCCACACAAACAGACACUGCUGCCAUACAAUGCCACCGUGGUCCUCUCUCAUGCUGCCCUUCAAGAAGAGAAUCAUGGUGCUUAAUUUCACAGAGUCCUUUUUUUCACCAACUCCUUAAUAUCAUUACUAAAUUGUUGACAUAGCCAAACUCUUCAAAUCUAUUGUACUGUUUUUUGGCAUGUUUAAGUUUGUAAUAAAUUCAAAUGAACCUCACUGUUUUUAACUCCUUUAACCUACAUUUAUUUCUAUAAUUUCUUAUAUUUUUCUCUCUUACUUUCAAACAGGAAAUACAGCAUAAACCAAACAUUCAGUAAUUCGGCAGGAUAUUUUGGGAGAUAAAACAUCCAAUAGGAGAGGAACAGUAAAAUCACUAAGUUUAUAAAGCAAUAUUUUUUAUUUUCCACACUUGGAAAAGAUUGAGAUUUUCCUUAGAUGGAACAUUUGCCCAAGUGAUAGAUAUUUGAGAUAAGGGACAUUUUCCAAAGACAAAACAAUGUUUCUUGUGAGAUAUUCUCAGUGUGAUGAAUCUGGGGAUAUACUAAACCUACCUUGAAAUUUGUCACUUCACAAUUCCCACAAGUAUUCAUUCCCAUAUAUAUAAAUGGAUGUUGAAUUUUUAAAAAAUGCCAUGAAACAAAAGGACUCCCUUUAGGAUUAUAGGAGGUGGCCCAUCAUGCUGGCAGAAGGAGUCCAUCCAGCUGGAAAGAAAUGAACAGGGCAGGAGGUGUAUGAAUGCACUGGAAAUGAUAAGAAUCCUAAUCAGCAUGGUAAUGCUAUUUCUAUUUUGAGAUGGGUAGGAUCAAUUAAUGAGUCUCAGAAAUCUUUGAAGCAUCAUUCAUGCAUUCCCCGACAGGCAAGAAGCCAUGUUGAAUGGGAACUCUGUGUGUGCAACAUGGAAAACACUUUGGUGAAUGCUCAUGCCUUUAGACACAGGAGAACUCAAAAUGGAGGGAACACUUACAAGGAUAAGGAAUAUGGAAAAAGCUCCCUUUCUCUGCAGAAGGAAACCUGUAAUGGAGACAGACUUUCUGGGUUUAAUCAAUACAGAAAAACCCAUCUACCUGACUCCAAAUAUUCUGUACUGGAAAACCAGCACCCAAGAAAAAGCCUUCACAUGCGGUGACAGUGGGAAGACCUUCCAUGAUCAAUCUUACUUCAAAGCACAAAUGACAACUCAUGAUGGAGAAGAAAGUCUAUGAAAGCAAGGAAGGUGAGACACCUGUUCUUCACGAGUGUGCAUGAAGAAACUUGCACUGCUAACGGAUUUAUGAAUGUGAGGAAUGUGGUGAAAAUAUUCCAUGUGUGCAAACUGUUAAGUAUACAUGUGAAUUGACAUGGGAGAAACCCUAUAAAUGUAAGGAAGUGGGAAAGCCUUUAUUUCAUCUUCCAAUUUUAAGAGACAUACAAGAGCGCCUGGGUGGCUCAGUUGGUUAAGCGACUGCCUUCGGCUCAGGUCAUGAUCCCGGAGUCCUGGGAUCAAGUCCCACGUCCCCUCUCAUGCUGCUUCUCUCUCGCGCUCUCUCUCUCUCAAAUAAAUUUAAAAAAAAGAGAGACAUACAAAAUCUGAUACUGGAGAGAGUACCUUUGUAUGUAAGGAAUGUGGAAAGUUUUUAAAAAUUCCUCAUGUCUUAAUCACAUUUGAAUUCACACUGGAAUAAAGUAAGGAAUGUGGGAAAACCUUCAUUAGUUCUUUUUCUCUUGGUAAACAAAAAGAAGAAGAAGAAGGUAGCAGGAGGGGAAGAAUGAAGCGGGGGAAAUCGGAGGGGUAGACGAACCAUGAGAGAUGAUGGACUCUGAAAAACAAACUGAGGGUUCUAGAGGGGAGGGGGUGGGAGGAUGGGUUAGCCUGGUGGUGGGUAUUGAGGAGGGCACAUUCUGCAUGGAGCACUGGGUGUUAUGCACAAUGAAUCAGGGAACACUACAUCUAAAACUAAUGAUGUAUGGGGAAUAACAUAAGAAUAAAAAAAAAAACCUAUGGAUAUAAAGAAUGUGGGAGGGCCUACAGUGCAUCCUCAAGCUUUACUGAACAUAUAAAAUCACACUCAGGAAAGAAGCUUUUUAAAGAUUAUUUAUUUUAGGGUGAGGGAGGGACAGAGGGAGAGGAAGAGGGAAAAUAUCCCAAGCAGAUUCCAUGCUGAGCAUGGAGCCCAAAACAGGACUUGAUCUCAAGACCCAUGAGCUCACAACCUGAGCUGAAACCAAGAGUCAGGCUCUCAUCCAACUGAGCCACCCAGGUGCCCUGAGAAGCCUUUAAAAUAUAACAAAUGUGGGAGACCUUUGCUACUUAAAUCAUACUCAUCUUAGAAUCACGCUGGAGAAAAAUGUAAUGUGUGGGGGAAGGCAUUUGCCUGUUAUUCAUACUUUAUCAUUUACAGACAUGCUCACACUAGAGAGAAGCCUUUCAAUAUAAGGAAUGCAUAAAAGCCUUUACUUUUUCCUCAAGACUAACUUAAACAUGUUAAGAAUUCACACAGGAGGGGUGCCUGGGUGGCUCAGUCAUUAAGCGUCUGCCUUUGGCUCAGGUCAUGAUCCCAGGGUCCUGGGAUCGAGCCCCACAUCGGGCUCCCUGCUCUGCGGGAAGCCUGCUUCUCCCUCUCCCACUUCCCCUGCUUGUGUUCCCUCUCUCACUGUGUCUCUGUCAAAUAAAUAAAUAAAAAAUCUUAAAAAAAAAAAAAAGCAUACAGGAAGGAAACCCUAUAAAUGACACAUUUCUCAGUGAUGUGCCUUUCAAAACAAAUACAUGCAAAGAAACCCAGAGUGUAAAUACUUUAAGAAGGUCUUCCAAUUAUUCCAAUUAAUAUUAGAUAAAUGAAAAUUCACCUUUAUAAAUGUUAAAACUGUGGUACAACCUGCAGUUCUCCCCAGUUCCUUUAACUGUCAUGAAAGCACUCACUCUGGAGAGAAAUCCCAUCAAUGUAAGGAAUGUGCUAAAAGCCUCAAUACUCCCACUGACUUUGAAGAUACGAAAGAAACAAACUGGAGGAAUGGUCUCUAUGUGUAGACUGUGGUAAAGACAUCAAUCUCCUGAAAACCCAGUAUGCUAGCUCUCACAGUGAAGCCGUGCUAUAAGAAACAUCUAGAGCACUUGACUGUUUCCUCAGUGAAAUACGUUCCUUAAAUGUGGUAGAUCCUGCAGUGCAGAGAAUCUUCUAUAUGAUAUGUGGGAAAACUUCAUCUCCUGAAUUCCUCAAUGUUCACUUGUAAUCUCAUUGUGUGGUAUGCUCCAUUGGUGUAAGAUAUUUGUUAUUUUACAUUAGAUAAUUGCUCAUCCUUAAUAAACACAAAGUGACUCACACUCAAGAGAAACUAUGGAAUGCUGGAAAUUAUACUGAGUCAGAAUCUUAGGUUCUGCUGGGACGCCUGGGUGGCUCAGUUGUUUGGGCAUCCGACUCUUGGUUUCAGCUCAGGUCAUGAUCUCAUGGGUCUUGGGAUUGAGCCCCACAUCGGGCUCUGCACUCAGGAGGGAGUCUUCUUGGGGAUUCUCUCCCUCUACCUUCCCCCAACCCAGCUCGUGCUCACUCUCUCUCAAAUAAAUCUUUUUAAAAACAAGGAUCUUAUGUCUGUUGACAGGCAUUAGCCUUGUGGGUGGUUGUAAGAUCUGUUUUAAACAUUCAUCAUUGUGUCCCAACCUUUUCUGGGGGCAUGAUGUAUCUUUGCCCUGAUUGGCCUGGCCUGGCCAGUCUAGUUGCUGCACCUUCCACCUUGCAACCUGCCCAAAAGUGGGCCUACACGAGUCACACUUUAUUGUCUUCUACCCACCUGGAUUCUCUUACUGGAUUGGCAUGAUCUUACAUUUCAAGCAUGGGGCCUGCAUCACUGUUAAAGCUGUACAUCGAGUCCAUCUACACUGAAUCACACUGGCCAGGGUAGGGGAUGUAAAACGUGUCUGUCAGUUUUGGAAAGAAGACCUUGUGUCCCUUUCUCGAACCCAAUCCUAUCUCAUGAAAUCUCAGGAUGAAGUAUGGGAUGAGUGGAGAAAAGGUGAGAUUACAGCUAGGAACGUGAGGCAGCAUGAGCACAUGCCCUAUGAACACCACCCUACUAACUGGGGAGGCCCUUCUACUCAAGUUCUGCAGCAAGAGGGUAAGAAUAAUGAAUGUGCUCUUCCACCCCUACAUCCAACACCACAGCCUGGCAAAACAACCCUACCAUCUUCGUAGCUCAAGCAACAGGUGUCACAGUGAUGGGGUCUGGCUCUGUGCUUGUCAUUCCAACCAUGUGCUGUGAAAACAGCCUCAGUGAUACAAAUUCAUACAGCUCUGAUGCCCAAGCUGCUUUGGGUUGGAUUAUGUCAUGUGUGGCCAUCAGAGUGCAGCUGCUUGAUGACACUCUUUGAGGCUUAAUGAAACCAUUGUAAUGAUAAUCCAAAGCAAGUUUCCCACAUGUCUUACAACUUCAGAAGAUAUUAUCUGUGCACCUUUUUCUCUUGCUCUCAUUCACUUUUUUACCUGGGAAAAAUGUAAAUCCCUGAUCACUCUUUCCCUGGGCCAUUUGUUAGAUGGGUCUUUGCAGUGUGGAAUCUUGAGAGAUGAGAUCAUCUCUCCCAUAAGAUAAAGAGCAGGCUCACUUACUACUUCAAAUACACUAGGUUCUGCAAGCUUAGCAUUCUUCUCCUUCAGCACCUGGGCCCUUUGGAACCCCUGAGAGACGGGGACAAAGGGAGCCAAU